GGAACGAACGCUGGCGGCAUGCCUAACACAUGCAAGUCGAACGAGAUCUUCGGAUCUAGUGGCGCACGGGUGCGUAACGCGUGGGAAUCUACCCUUGGGUUCGGAAUAACAGUUGGAAACGACUGCUAAUACCGGAUGAUGACGUAAGUCCAAAGAUUUAUCGCCCAGGGAUGAGCCCGCGUAGGAUUAGCUAGUUGGUGAGGUAAAGGCUCACCAAGGCGACGAUCCUUAGCUGGUCUGAGAGGAUGAUCAGCCACACUGGGACUGAGACACGGCCCAGACUCCUACGGGAGGCAGCAGUGGGGAAUAUUGGACAAUGGGCGAAAGCCUGACCCAGCAAUGCCGCGUGAGUGAUGAAGGCCUUAGGUGUAAAGCUCUUUUACCCGUGAUGAUAAUGACAGUAGCGGAGAAUAAGCUCCGGCUAACUCCGCGCCAGCAGCCGC
rnacentral:rRNA from 1 species